rnacentral:rRNA from 1 species
UACGUAGGGGGCGAGCGUUGUCCGAAGUUACUGGGCGUAAAGCGCGCGUAGGCGGUUUAUUAAGUCUGAGGUGAAAGGUUCAGCGCUCAACGCGAACAGUGCCUUGGAUACUGGUAGACUUGAGUGUGGCAGAGGAGUAUGGAAUUCCUGGUGUAGCGGUGAAAUGCGUAGAUAUCAGGAGGAAUACCGAUGGCGAAGGCAGUACUCUGGGCUAACACUGACGCUGAGGUGCGAAAGCGCGGGGAGCAAACAGG